GCCCGCGCAGCCCCGCCCCUGCGCGUCCCGCCCCGCGCGCGCCACCGCGCCUGCGUGCCAGGACCGUUGCGGCGGGGGAGGGGCCUCGGCCGCGUGGCGUCCAGUGGACCGCGGUACCUGCGGGCUGGGGCUGCCGCCUCCAAACGCGGGUUGGAGGUGGCCGGCUAAAAUGUCAGCUAAGAGGCAAAGACCCCUCCCUGCCUGUUUAUAAACACCACCACUUUCCCAUCUCCCAUAAAUGCCAUCUCCAGGAGAGGAGGUCCAACUACGUACAUCCUCACAAAGUUGCACCCGGGUCAGGAAAUGCCUGGCUGCACCGCAGCGAUUGCAGUCUCCGCAGUGACUGAUGCCCAGAGUUCGCUCAUGAAGUGCGGGGAGACACGAAGUAAUUACAUGAGGUGAGGCAUGAAUCAGAAUUAACUGAGGAGGAAGGAGGAGGAUGCCUGGAACUGACUCACUGAAGGGAGGAAAAAACUGCACAGAAAACUGACUCUCCAACAAUGCUAUCUGCCAAAGCCACUGUGACAGUAUAUUCUGUAGGAAAAGACACCCUGGGCCAAAAGACAACACAUCUGGGUUCUGGUGGCAGCAUCUUUACUGUCUUCAUCUGUUUUCUUAUUUCUGAAAUAUAGUGGUGAUUCCAGCGCCUUGUUGAAUCUGUGAAGGAACCUCUGGCUAUCCACUCUGUUUCUGGUUCUCCUUUGUAACUAACCCGCUCUCUCAAAUUGGUGGUAGUGAAGUCCAUUCACUUUGUGAAGGUCCAGUGAUCUGGAAGGAAGCCUGGAACUCCUUGUGGCCUGAAUGUACUCAUAACCUCUCCCCUUGUGAGUCCCUGCCACAGUGGCGACGGAGAAACCACCCUGCAGGUCACUAGAAGGUGUGCAAUUGCUCCCCACUACAGACUCCUAGAGAGACAGUAUUCACCAUCUUCCGAGGCAAAUAUUAAUUACAUUAUUCUUACUGAGGUCUGAAGAGAGUCUACAACUUGGGCCAGGUGUGGAGUGAGAGGUGGAGAGAAGAUUCAGACUCAAGAGUUUAACAUCAUCCUGACACUAAGAAAAUAUUGAAUAAAGAGCAGUUGGGUUGAAUUAAAUGUAGAUGAACAAAGGCUGCUGACCACCAACCAAUCUUCCCCCUCUGCCUGCUGACAUUUCCACCCCAGCCAUCACAAGACUGUCUUCAUAAUUUGCCUCUUCCACUUUCCCCUCCUAAGGAAAUGCUUGUCGUUAUGGGAAUCUGCCUGGUCCAAUGAACUGUAGUCAUUUGACCCCUAAAGAAAUUUGCAAGCAUUCUUUUCCUAGUGGCUUCUGUGCUUACUGGGGGCUAAUAGUUUUCCUUACUGUCUCUGCUUGCUCUUACUUCGUUCUUGUAUUUGGAGGUGUAGCCAAGGAUUCUUAAGAAAGGUAUAUAUGGAAUUUUUUUAUUGACCCCCUAGGACAACACUAUGGUAGCCUGGGUGUUUUCAUAUUAUUCAAGUAAGUUUAAUAAA